rnacentral:rRNA from 1 species
GGGUCAGUAGGUUGGUCGUGCCACCGGUACGUACUGGUCUCACUGAUUCCUCCUUCCUGAAGAACCGUAAUGCCAUUAAUUUGGUGUUGCGGGGAAACAGGACUGUUACUUUGAAAAGAUUAGAGUGUUUAAAGCAAGCUAACGCUUGAAUACAUUAGCAUGGAUAAUGAAAUAGGACGAUCGAUACUAUUUUGUUGGUUUCUAGGAUUGACGUA